AACGAACGCUGGCGGCAGGCUUAACACAUGCAAGUCGAGCGAGACCUUCGGGUCUAGCGGCGGACGGUGAGUAACGCGAGGGAACGUGCCCUUCUCUACGGAAUAGCCCCGGGAAACUGGGAGUAAUACCGUAUACGCCCUUUGGGGGAAAGAUUUAUCGGAGAAGGAUCGGCCCGCGUUGGAUUAGGUAGUUGGUGGGGUAAUGGCCCACCAAGCCGACGAUCCAUAGCUGGUUUGAGAGGAUGAUCAGCCACACUGGGACUGAGACACGGCCCAGACUCCUACGGGAGGCAGCAGUGGGGAAUCUUAGACAAUGGGGGCAACCCUGAUCUAGCCAUGCCGCGUGAGUGAUGAAGACCUUAGGGUUGUAAAGCUCUUUCAGCUGGGAAGAUAAUGACGGUACCAGCAGAAGAAGCCCCGGCUAACUCCGUG
rnacentral:rRNA from 1 species